rnacentral:rRNA from 1 species
CCUACGGGUGGCAGCAGUGGGGAAUAUUGGGCAAUGGAGGCAACUCUGACCCAGCAACGCCGCGUGAAUGAUGAAGGUCUUCGGAUUGUAAAGUUCUUUUCUAAGGGAAGAAGAAAGUGACGGUACCUUAGGAAUAAGCCUCGGCUAACUACGUGCCAGCAGCCGCGGUAAUACGUAGGAGGCAAGCGUUAUCCGGAAUGACUGGGCGUAAAGGGUGCGUAGGUGGUUUGACAAGUUGGUAGCGUAACUCCGGAGCUCAACUUCGGAACUACUACCAAAACUGUUGGACUCGAGUGCAGGAGGGGCAACUGGAAUUUCUAGUGUAGCGGUGGAAUGCGUAGAUAUUAGGAAGAACACCGGUGGCGAAGGCGAGUUGCUGGACUGUAACUGACACUGAGGCACGAAAGCGUGGGGAGCAAACAGGAUUAGAUACCCCGGUAGUC